rnacentral:rRNA from 1 species
CCUUCGGGGUACACGAGCGGCGAACGGGUGAGUAACACGUGGGUAACCUGCCCUGUACUCCGGGAUAAGCCUGGGAAACUAGGUCUAAUACCGGAUACGACCCUUCAAGGCAUCUUGUGGGGUGGAAAGUUCCGGCGGUAUGGGAUGGACCCGCGGCCUAUCAGCUUGUUGGUGGGGUGAUGGCCUACCAAGGCGACGACGGGUAGCCGGCCUGAGAGGGUGACCGGCCACACUGGGACUGAGACACGGCCCAGACUCCUACGGGAGGCAGCAGUGGGGAAUAUUGCACAAUGGGCGAAAGCCUGAUGCAGCGACGCCGCGUGAGGGAUGACGGCCUUCGGGUUGUAAACCUCUUUCAGCAGGGACGAAGCGCAAGUGACGGUACCUGCAGAAGAAGCACCGGCUAACUACGUGCCAGCAGCCGCGGUAAUACGUAGGGUGCGAGCGUUGUCCGGAAUUAUUGGGCGUAAAGAGCUCGUAGGCGGUUUGUUGCGUCGGCCGUGAAAACUUCACGCUUAACGUGGAGCCUGCGGUCGAUACGGGCAGACUUGAGUUCGGCAGGGGAGACUGGAAUUCCUGGUGUAACGGUGAAAUGCGCAGAUAUCAGGAGGAACACCGGUGGCGAAG